AGUUCUUGAUGCAGCCGUUCAACAGUAGAACCUUGAUUGAAGAGGUGACUGACAGUGAGUUGCCAAUGGAGCCGGUGCACCACCCUGUGCAGUCACCGCCAGGCGGACAAGUGGGAGGUGCGAGCACUUCAAUUGGCGGUGGGCAGAUCUGUCCCCCAUCAGUGGAAGGACAAGCAAGGAGUGGAGAUAAGGCAGAUGCUUCAGAAAACUCCGUGGAGCAGAUUGAUCCAAAAACGCCUGCUUGGACGCGAAGGGUCAAGAUAGGUGCUGCAGCACCAGCCACCAGGGCGUGCCCCAUGCCCAGAUAGGAUGACUGCAUUAGAGAAAUCAGUCCAUUUUUUUGCUGAGGCGCCUAGGGAGAACAUUGUACCGAAAUUAGGGCACAGUUUCGAUACGCUCGGCGAGGCCUAUGAUUUCUACAAUCUGUACUCCUGGGAGAAAGGCUUCGGGAUUAGAUAUGGAAAGAGCAGGCUAAAUGUUAACCGGACAAAAUGCAUGCAGGAGAUCGUGUGUGGUUGCGCGGGCAAACCAAUAGUGGAGAAUACUCGGUCAUGCCGCUGCGAAUGUCCUGCCCUUAUCAGAUUGCCGCGCUCGAAAGACAAUGGGUGGUACAUAGCGGAGCACAGAGAUCAUCACAAUCAUGCCUUGUCCAACACCUAUGGGCAGACGUUGCACUAGCCAUCACAUAAGCACAUCGACGUGUACAACAGGGAUCUGGUGAAGCAGCUGUGAGAGAACAAUGUGAAUCUAUCCAAAGUGUACAACAUUAUUGGUAGUUUCUUUGGGCGGAUGGAGAAUGUACCAUUCACAAAGAGAGCGCUCAUGAACUUGUGUGGCAAAAUCAGUCGUGACCAGGCAGAGGAUGAUGUUAGGAAGACAAUGGAGGUGUUUCAGGAAAUUGGUGCUCAGGAUCAGCAGUUCACAUACAGGGUACAUGCUGACAAGGAGGGGAGGAUAAGUAGCCUGAUGUCGGCGAACGGAAACAACAGAAUUCAGUAUACCUUCUUUGGGGAUGUAGUUACUUUCGACACCACUUACUGAACUAAUCUGUAUGAUAUGCCAUUUGAGUUCACAAAAUCGGCUGAUUGAUUUCUGGUGGAGCUGAGGAUCUGGGUGGGAGCUCAGCUGGAUGGAGAAGGUUAUCAAGAGGGAAAAGCGUAGGCAAGAAGCCAGGUAGCUGCAACGGCUGGAUACAUUUAAUGAGGUGGAUGGCGGCGUUAGUCCAGAAUCUCGCUGGAACCGGCUCAACCCGUGAACGUCUUCCUGGUCCGUGCCUGGGAUGGCUAACGGCGUGACCAUAAUUCACCCCGACUUGUGGGCCACGGGCCAUAAUAAAAAUACAGAAUCUCAAAAAGUGGUUAGACCCACACUGCCAUGCUCUGCGCAUCGCGAUAAAGACGUGCGGUACAGAUACCGUGAUCCUGUGCGCCCGUGCUCACAUUAGCACUUUCGAACUCUGUACCUCUUUCUUAUUCAGUACAU